rnacentral:rRNA from 1 species
CGUGUAGGCGGCCAGGUAGGUCUGCUGUGAAAACUCGAGGCUUAACCUCGAGAUGUCGGCAGAAACCAUCUGGCUAGAGUCCGGAAGAGGAGAAUGGAAUUCCCGGUGUAGCGGUGAAAUGCGCAGAUAUCGGGAAGAACACCCGUGGCGAAGGCGGUUCUCUGGGACGGUACUGACGCUGAGACGCGAAAGCGUGGGGAGCGAACA